GUGGAAUGCUCAGAAAGGAGGAAUGUCUUUUUGUGUGCUGAUGAGCUGCCUGAUGACUGUGGGCUCCUGGAUAGCCUUGGGAUUGGGACUAGUUGCCAAAAGAACCAACUAUAUGAUCAGAGGCUUGCAACUUUCAGCACCACUCCCUGACCUCCAGGGAGGAGGGGUUGAAGGGGUUGAAGGUUUCUGGCAACUCUGCUUUAAGCAAGCAAGUCUAUUGCUGCCAUUUUUUCAACAGCAUGUGCUCAAUGUCUCUGUAUCACAUUUUUGGUAAUUCUCUCAAUAUUUAAAA
rnacentral:lncRNA from 10 species